GACGAACGCUGGCGGCGUGCCUAAUUCAUGCAAGUCGAGCGGACUAAUGGGAGCUUGCUCCCGUUAGUUAGCGGCGGACGGGUGAGUAACACGUGGGCAACCUACCUGUAAGACUGGGAUAACUUCGGGAAACCGGAGCUAAUACCGGAUGACAUAAAGGAACUCCUGUUCCUUUAUUGAAAGAUGGCUUCGGCUAUCACUUACAGAUGGGCCCGCGGCGCAUUAGCUAGUUGGUGAGGUAACGGCUCACCAAGGCGACGAUGCGUAGCCGACCUGAGAGGGGGAUCGGCCACACUGGGACUGAGCCACGGCCCAGAAUCCUACGGGAGGCAGCAGUAGGGAAUCUUCCGCAAUGGACGAAAGUCUGACGGAGCAACGCCGCGUGAGCGAUGAAGGCCUUCGGGUCGUAAAGCUCUGUUGUUAGGGAAGAAUAAGUGCUAGUUGAAUAAGCUGGCACCUUGACGGUACCUAACCAGAAAGCCACGGCUAACUACGUGCCAGCCGCCGCGGUAA
rnacentral:rRNA from 1 species